GACGAACGCUGGCGGCGUGCCUAAUACAUGCAAGUAGAACGCUGAAGAGAGGAGCUUGCUCUUCUUGGAUGAGUUGCGAACGGGUGAGUAACGCGUGGGUAACCUGCCUUGUAGCGGGGGAUAACUAUUGGAAACGAUAGCUAAUACCGCAUAACAAUAGGUGACACAUGUCAUUUAUUUGAAAGGGGCAAUUGCUCCACUACAAGAUGGACCUGCGUUGUAUUAGCUAGUAGGUGAGGUAACGGCUCACCUAGGCGACGAUACAUAGCCGACCUGAGAGGGUGAUCGGCCACACUGGGACUGAGACACGGCCCAGACUCCUACGGGAGGCAGCAGUAGGGAAUCUUCGGCAAUGGGGGCAACCCUGACCGAGCAACGCCGCGUGAGUGAAGAAGGUUUUCGGAUCGUAAAGCUCUGUUGUAAGUCAAGAACGAGUGUGAGAGUGGAAAGUUCACACUGUGACGGUAGCUUACCAGAAAGAGACGGCUAACUACGUG
rnacentral:rRNA from 1 species